rnacentral:rRNA from 1 species
GACGAACGCUGGCGGCGUGCUUAACACGUGCAAGUCGAGCGAGAAAGCACCUUCGGGUGUGAGUACAGCGGCGAACGGGUGAGUAACACGUGGGCAACCUGCCCCAGAGACUGGGAUAACGUCCCGAAAGGGACGCUAAUACCGGAUGAUGCGCGAUCUGCCAAGUAGGUCGCGCCAAAUGGUAGCUUCGGCUUCUGCUCUGGGAUGGGCCCGCGCCGGAUUAGCUUGUUGGUGAGGUAACGACUCACCAAGGCGACGAUCCGUAGCUGGUCUGAGAGGACGAUCAGCCACACUGGGACUGAGACACGGCCCAGACUCCUACGGGAGGCAGCAGUGGGGAAUCUUGCGCAAUGGGCGGAAGCCUGACGCAGCAACGCCGCGUGAGCGAAGACGGCCUUCGGGUUGUAAAGCUCUGUCAGGAGGGACGAAGCCACUCAGGUGAAUAGCCGAGAGGGUGACGGUACCUCCAGAGGAAGCCCCGGCUAACUACGUGCCAGCAGCCGCCGUAACAC